CAACAACAGGGUCAUCAGGUGCUUAGUGUGUCUGUGACUGAAUACAUCAGGAAUCAACAGCAUGGCCUUUUUUAUCUUGAGGUCUUUGAGUGGUAUAUCUAAGUGUUUCUGCAGUGCUGUGGCCCAGAUGACCUCUAUAUCUGCCAGCACGGCUGUCAGGGUGCCUCCCGGACGAUCAUGAAUGUUAAGUCUCCCCCUCCUCAUUGGCCAGUGUAGAUUGUAA